rnacentral:rRNA from 1 species
UACGAAGGGGACUAGCGUUGUUCGGAAUCACUGGGCGUAAAGCGCACGUAGGCGGAUUUGUAAGUCAGGGGUGAAAUCCCGGGGCUCAACCUCGGAACUGCCUUUGAUACUGCGAAUCUUGAGUCCGAUAGAGGUGGGUGGAAUUCCUAGUGUAGAGGUGAAAUUCGUAGAUAUUAGGAAGAACAACCGGUGGCGAAGGCGGCCCACUGGAUCG